GAUGAACGCUGGCGGCGUGCCUAAUACAUGCAAGUCGAGCGAACAGAUGAGGAGCUUGCUCCUCUGACGUUAGCGGCGGACGGGUGAGUAACACGUGGAUAACCUACCUAUAAGACUGGGAUAACUUCGGGAAACCGGAGCUAAUACCGGAUAAUAUAUUGAACCGCAUGGUUCAAUAGUGAAAGACGGUUUUGCUGUCACUUAUAGAUGGAUCCGCGCCGCAUUAGCUAGUUGGUAAGGUAACGGCUUACCAAGGCAACGAUGCGUAGCCGACCUGAGAGGGGGACGGCCAAACCUGGAACGGAGACCCGGCCCAGCCCCCGAGGGGGGCAGCCAGUGGGGAUUCUUCCGAAAGGGGCAAAGGCCGAAGGGAGAAGCGCGGGGUGAGGGAUGAAGGUCUUCGAAUCAUAAACUUGUUUUAUUGGGAAAAAAAAAAUGGGAAAGAAACUAUGCACGUCUGGAGGGAACCAAAAAAGAAGCCCAGGACAAGCGAGGGC
rnacentral:rRNA from 1 species